rnacentral:rRNA from 1 species
GACGAACGCUGGCGUCGUGCCUAAUACAUGCAAGUAGAACGCUAAAGAGAGGAGCUUGCUCUUCUUGGAUGAGUUGCGAACGGGUGAGUAACGCGUAGGUAACCUGCCUGUUAGUGGGGGAUAACUAUUGGAAACGAUAGCUAAUACCGUAUAAAAUGGUUUAUCGCAUGAUAAUCCAUUGAAAGGUGCAAAUGCAUCACUACCAGACUGACAUUCGUUGUAUUAGCUAGUUGGUGGGGUACCGGCGAACCAAGGCGAGGAUACAUAGCCGACCUGUGAAGGGGAGCGGCCACACUGUGAGUGAGACACGGCCCAUGCUUCUGCGGGAGGCAGCAGUCGGGAAUCUUCGGCAAUCGACGGAAGUCUGACCGAGCAACGACGCGGGAGUGGAGAAGGUUUUCGGAUCGCAAAGCUCUGUUGUAAGGGAAGAACGAGUGUGAGAGUGGAAAGUGCACAUUGUGACGGUAUCUGAUCAGAAAGAGACGGCUAACUACGUG